CCUACGGGAGGCUGCAGUAGGGAAUCUUUCACAAUGGGCGAAAGCCUGAUGGAGCAAUGCCGCGUGCAGGAUGAAGGCCUUCGGGUUGUAAACUGCUUUUAUAAGCGAGAAAUAUGAUGGUAACUUAUGAAUAAGGAUCGGCUAACUACGUGCCAGCAGCAGCGGUCAUACGUAGGAUCCGAGCAUUAUCCGGAGUGACUGGGUGUAAAGAGUUGCGUAGGUGGCAUAAUAAGUAGCUAGUGAAAUCUGGUGGCUCAACCAUUCAGACUAUUAGCUAAACUGUUAAGCUCGAGACCGUUAGGGGUAACUGGAAUUUCUAGUGUAGGAGUGAAAUCCGUAGAUAUUAGAAGGAACACCAAUAGCGUAGGCAGGUUGCUGGGACGGUUCUGACACUAAGGCACGAAAGCGUAGGGAGCAAACGGGAUUAGAUACCCCUGUAGUC
rnacentral:rRNA from 1 species